GGAGGGUGCAAGCGUUGUUCGGAAUUAUUGGGCGUAAAGAGCGUGUAGGCGGUCCGGGUAAGUCAGAUGUGAAAGCCCUGGGGCUCAACCCAGGAAGUGCAUUUGAAGCUACCAGACUUGAGUACGGGAGAGGAGGGGGGAAUUCCCGGUGUAGAGGUGAAAUUCGUAGAUAUCGGGAGGAAUACCAGUGGCGAAGGCGCCCCUCUGGACCGAUACUGACGCUGAGACGCGAAAGCGUGGGGAGCAAACAGGAUUAGAUACCCUGGUAGUCCGCGCCGUAAACGAUGAGCACUAGGUGUAGCGGGUAUUGACCCCUGCUGUGCCGUAGCUAACGCAUUAAGUGCUCCGCCUGGGGACUACGGUCGCAAAGACUAA
rnacentral:rRNA from 1 species